rnacentral:rRNA from 1 species
GACGAACGCUGGCGGCGUGCUUAACACAUGCAAGUCGAACGGAAAGGCCCCUUUGGGGGUACUCGAGUGGCGAACGGGUGAGUAACACGUGAGUAACCUGCCCUUGACUUCGGGAUAACUUCAGGAAACUGGGGCUAAUACCGGAUAGGAAUCCUUGCUGCAUGGUGGGGGUUGGAAAGUUCCGGCGGUUUGGGUUGGACUCGCGGCUUAUCAGCUUGUUGGUGGGGUGGUGGCUUACCAAGGCUUGGACGGGUAGCCGGCCUGGGAGGGCGACCGGCCACAUUGGGACUGAGAUACGGCCCAGACUCCUACGGGAGGCAGCAGUGGGGAAUAUUGCACAAUGGGCGGAAGCCUGAUGCAGCAACGCCGCGUGCGGGAUGACGGCCUUCGGGUUGUAAACCGCUUUCAGCAGGAGCGAAGCUUGUGGUGACGGUACCUGCAGAAGAAGCACCGGCUAACUACGUG